rfam:Onchocerca ochengi, WGS project CAWC01000000 data, contig: 04545_6486
UACUUUUAGAGAAUUGAUGGAGAACGCAAUUAGUUGCGACAAUUAGUGCGAAUUACAGAUGCACUGAGUACAGAAAUUUCGAAUGCAGAUUGCACCACUGGAUUAAUUUUCUAUGGUACCUUUAGUUGAGGGUCA